rnacentral:antisense_RNA from 3 species
AGUUGCGGCGGCUAUGCGCGGGCACGCUUCGGCGUGGUCGAGUUUUGCUCUAAGGGUCUCGAUAUUCCUACCCCGUGCAUAGCUGCCACCCUA